rnacentral:misc_RNA from 1 species
GAUGAAGAACGCAGCGAAAUGCGAUAAGUAAUGCGAAUUGCAGAAUUUCCGUGAGUCAUCGAAUCUUUGAACGCACAUUGCGCCCCCUGGUAUUCCGGGGGGCAUGCCUGUCCGAGCGUCAUUGCUGCCCUCAAGCACGGCUUGUGUGUUGGGCCUCCGCCCCCCGGCUCCCGGGGGGCGGGCCCGAAAGGCAGCGGCGGCACCGCGUCCGGUCCUCGAGCGUAUGGGGCUUCGUCACCCGCUCCGUAGGCCCGGCCGGCGCCCGCCGGCGACCCCCCUCAAUCUUUCCAGGUUGACCUCGGAUCAGGUAGGGAUACCCGCUGAACUUAGGCAUAUCAAUAAGCGAGGA